GAUGAACGCUGGCGGCGUGCCUAAUACAUGCAAGUCGAGCGAACAGACGAGGAGCUUGCUCCUCUGACGUUAGCGGCGGACGUGUGAGUAACACGUGGAUAACCUACCUAUAAGACUGGGAUAACUUCGGGAAACCGGAUCUAAUACCGGAUAAUAUAUUGAACCGCAUGGUUCAAUAGUGAAAUACGGUUUUGCUGUCACUUAUAGAUGGAUCCGCGCCGCAUUAGCUAGUUGGUAAGGUAACGGCUUACCAAGGCAACGAUGCGUAGCCGACCUGAGAGGGUGAUAGGCCACACUGGAGCUGAGACACGGUCCAGACUACUACGGGAGGCAGCAGUAGGGAAUCUUCCGCAAUGGGCGAAAGCAUGACGGAGCAACGCCGAGUGAGUGAUGAAGGUCUUCGGAUCGUAAAAAUCUGUUAUUAGGGAAGAACAAAUGUGUAAGUAACUAUGCACGUAUUGACGGUAACUAAUCAGAAAGCCACGGCUAACUACGUG
rnacentral:rRNA from 1 species